rnacentral:rRNA from 1 species
CAUAGGUUAAUGAGGCGAACCGGGGGAACUGAAACAUCUAAGUACCCCGAGGAAAAGAAAUCAACCGAGAUUCCCCCAGUAGCGGCGAGCGAACGGGGAGGAGCCCAGAGCCUGAAUCAGUGUGUGUGUUAGUGGAAGCGUCUGGAAAGGCGCGCGAUACAGGGUGACAGCCCCGUACACAAAAAUGCACAUAUUGUGAGCUCGAUGAGUAGGGCGGGACACGUGGUAUCCUGUCUGAAUAUGGGGGGACCAUCCUCCAAGGCUAAAUACUCCUGACUGACCGAUAGUGAACCAGUACCGUGAGGGAAAGGCGAAAAGAACCCCGGCGAGGGGAGUGAAAAAGAACCUGAAACCGUGUACGUACAAGCAGUGGGAGCCUCUUUAUGGGGUGACUGCGUACCUUUUGUAUAAUGGGUCAGCGACUUAUAUUCUGUAGCAAGGUUAACCGAAUAGGGGAGCCGAAGGGAAACCGAGUCUUAACUGGGCGUUAAGUUGCAGGGUAUAGACCCGAAACCCGGUGAUCUAGCCAUGGGCAGGUUGAAGGUUGGGUAACACUAACUGGAGGACCGAACCGACUAAUGUUGAAAAAUUAGCGGAUGACUUGUGGCUGGGGGUGAAAGGCCAAUCAAACCGGGAGAUAGCUGGUUCUCCCCGAAAGCUAUUUAGGUAGCGCCUCGUGAAUUCAUCUCCGGGGGUAGAGCACUGUUUCGGCAAGGGGGUCAUCCCGACUUACCAACCCGAUGCAAACUGCGAAUACCGGAGAAUGUUAUCACGGGAGACACACGGCGGGUGCUAACGUCCGUCGUGAAGAGGGAAACAACCCAGACCGCCAGCUAAGGUCCCAAAGUCAUGGUUAAGUGGGAAACGAUGUGGGAAGGCCCAGACAGCCAGGAUGUUGGCUUAGAAGCAGCCAUCAUUUAAAGAAAGCGUAAUAGCUCACUGGUCGAGUCGGCCUGCGCGGAAGAUGUAACGGGGCUAAACCAUGCACCGAAGCUGCGGCAGCGACACUAUGUGUUGUUGGGUAGGGGAGCGUUCUGUAAGCCUGUGAAGGUGGCCUGUGAGGGUUGCUGGAGGUAUCAGAAGUGCGAAUGCUGACAUAAGUAACGAUAAAGCGGGUGAAAAGCCCGCUCGCCGGAAGACCAAGGGUUCCUGUCCAACGUUAAUCGGGGCAGGGUGAGUCGACCCCUAAGGCGAGGCCGAAAGGCGUAGUCGAUGGGAAACAGGUUAAUAUUCCUGUACUUGGUGUUACUGCGAAGGGGGGACGGAGAAGGCUAUGUUGGCCGGGCGACGGUUGUCCCGGUUUAAGCGUGUAGGCUGGUUUUCCAGGCAAAUCCGGAAAACCAAGGCUGAGGCGUGAUGACGAGGCACUACGGUGCUGAAGCGACAAAUGCCCUGCUUCCAGGAAAAGCCUCUAAGCAUCAGGUAACAUCAAAUCGUACCCCAAACCGACACAGGUGGUCAGGUAGAGAAUACCAAGGCGCUUGAGAGAACUCGGGUGAAGGAACUAGGCAAAAUGGUGCCGUAACUUCGGGAGAAGGCACGCUGAUAUGUAGGUGAAGCGACUUGCUCGUGGAGCUGAAAUCAGUCGAAGAUACCAGCUGGCUGCAACUGUUUAUUAAAAACACAGCACUGUGCAAACACGAAAGUGGACGUAUACGGUGUGACGCCUGCCCGGUGCCGGAAGGUUAAUUGAUGGGGUUAGCGGUAACGCGAAGCUCUUGAUCGAAGCCCCGGUAAACGGCGGCCGUAACUAUAACGGUCCUAAGGUAGCGAAAUUCCUUGUCGGGUAAGUUCCGACCUGCACGAAUGGCGUAAUGAUGGCCAGGCUGUCUCCACCCGAGACUCAGUGAAAUUGAACUCGCUGUGAAGAUGCAGUGUACCCGCGGCAAGACGGAAAGACCCCGUGAACCUUUACUAUAGCUUGACACUGAACAUUGAGCCUUGAUGUGUAGGAUAGGUGGGAGGCUUUGAAGUGUGGACGCCAGUCUGCAUGGAGCCGACCUUGAAAUACCACCCUUUAAUGUUUGAUGUUCUAACGUUGGCCCGUAAUCCGGGUUGCGGACAGUGUCUGGUGGGUAGUUUGACUGGGGCGGUCUCCUCCUAAAGAGUAACGGAGGAGCACGAAGGUUGGCUAAUCCUGGUCGGACAUCAGGAGGUUAGUGCAAUGGCAUAAGCCAGCUUGACUGCGAGCGUGACGGCGCGAGCAGGUGCGAAAGCAGGUCAUAGUGAUCCGGUGGUUCUGAAUGGAAGGGCCAUCGCUCAACGGAUAAAAGGUACUCCGGGGAUAACAGGCUGAUACCGCCCAAGAGUUCAUAUCGACGGCGGUGUUUGGCACCUCGAUGUCGGCUCAUCACAUCCUGGGGCUGAAGUAGGUCCCAAGGGUAUGGCUGUUCGCCAUUUAAAGUGGUACGCGAGCUGGGUUUAGAACGUCGUGAGACAGUUCGGUCCCUAUCUGCCGUGGGCGCUGGAGAACUGAGGGGGGCUGCUCCUAGUACGAGAGGACCGGAGUGGACGCAUCACUGGUGUUCGGGUUGUCAUGCCAAUGGCACUGCCCGGUAGCUAAAUGCGGAAGAGAUAAGUGCUGAAAGCAUCUAAGCACGAAACUUGCCCCGAGAUGAGUUCUCCCUGAGACUUAGAGUCUCCUGAAGGAACGUUGAAGACGACGACGUUGAUAGGCCGGGUGUGUAAGCGCAGCGAUGCGUUGAGCUAACCGGUACUAAUGAACCGUGAGGCUUAACCUUACAAC